rnacentral:rRNA from 1 species
UUGAGGAAGAGAAAGUAAAUAACGAUUGCGAAAGUAGUGGCGAGCGAAAUCGCAACAGCCCAAACCUUUUAAGUUUUUGCCUAUUAAUUUAGGCAAAUAAGUUGAUAGACGAAUACUUAUAAGGGGUUGUGAUAUUACAUAUGACCAAGUCAGAGAAUUUGAUUCAUUCAAAUAAUCUGAUUUGCGAUAACUGGCUAUCAACAGUUAGUAAGGUAAGAAAUCGGCGUGGUUAGUAGAAUAGUUUGAAUGACUAGCCAAAGAACGUGAAAGCCGUGUAUAUGAAAACGACGCUGACCUUAUAUAUGUUUUAUCGAGUAGGACGGGGCACGAGAAACCCUGUUUGAAUCUGGCUGGACCACCAGCCAAGGCUAAAUAUAAUAUACGAUCGAUAGUGAACUAGUACAGUGAUGGAAAGGUGAAAAGAACCCCGGGAGGGGAGUGAAAUAGAUCCUGAAAUUUAGUGCCUACAAGGAGUCGGAGCCGGCUUGUCCGGUGACGGCGUGCUUUUUGUAGAACGAUCCAGCGAGUUAAUUUUUACAGCGAGGUUAAGUCAAUUGACGGAGCCACAGUGAAAGCGAGCCUGAAUAGGGCGAUUAAGUUGUAAGGAUUAGACCCGAAACCGGGUGACCUAACCAUGAGCAGGUUGAAGCCACUGUAACAGGUGGUGGAGGACCGAACCAGGAUACGCAGCAAAGUGUUUGGAUGACUUGUGGUUAGCGGUGAAAUGCCAAUCGAACUCGGAGAUAGCUGGUUCUCCUCGAAAUAGCUUUAGGGCUAGCGUCGUGUUAGUAGCACAUGGGGGUAGAGCUCUGUAAAGGACUGGGGCGGGCAACUGUACCCACCCUUAACAAACUACGAAUACCAUGUGUGUAAUCACGGCAGUUAGAACAUCGGUGCUAAGAUCGGUGCUCAAAAGGGAAACAGCCCAGACCAUCAUCUAAGGUCCCUAAAUUAACGUUCAGUGGGAAACAAGGUGAGAUUUCUUAAACAGCUAGGAUGUUGGCUUAGAAGCAGCCAUUCAUUUAAAGAGUGCGUAACAGCUCACUAGUCAAGAGAUCUUGCGUGGAAAAUGUAACGGGGCUAAAACGUUAUACCGAAGAUAUGGAUUACACGCUAAGUACAAAGUUAAAGUUGUGUUACAAUCAAUUUAUGGAAAAUGAGAUUUACAUAGGUAGCGUUUAUAAACACUAUAAAGGCAAUAAGUAUGUUGUUGUAAGUAUAGCUGUUAAUACUGAGACGCUUGAAGAGCUUGUAGUUUAUCGAGCCAUUUAUGGCGACGGAGAAUUAUGGGCUAGACCUAAGAAAAUGUUUUUAGAUAAUAUUGAAAAGAACGGAAAGAUCAUUCCAAGGUUUAAAUUGAUUAAGAAACUUUGAUUUUGUUCUUAGUGUGUAGUGGUAGAGGAGCGUUCCUAUCAGCGGUGAAGUCGAAUCGGAAGGUUCGGUGGAGCGGUAGGAAGUGAGAAUGCUGGAAUGAGUAACCAUAAGAGAGGUGAGAAUCCUCUCGGCCGUAAGAGCAAGGUUUCCUGAGCCAUGGUAAUCAUCUCAGGGUUAGUCGGGCCUAAGCCGAGGCGCAGAGCGUAGGCGAUGGACAUCAGGUUAAUAUUCCUGAACCGGUUAAGUUUUGUACACUGUUCACGGGGAAGUAAUCGAAGCGGAUUCAUGGUUUAUCCGUCCAACCGAGCGGGAACGCAAAGGGAGUGAAAGUGAUUCUUCGGAGUCGCGAUUUUGGUGAAAGCCCUGGCUAGAAAAGCAGGUGUACGCGUGGACUUAGCCGCCCGUACCGCAAACCAACACAGGUGCUCGAGUCGAGUAGACUCAGGCUUACGAGCGAACCUUCGCUAAGGAACUCGGCAAUACAGCGACCGUAACUUCGGGAUAAGGUCUGCCCCCACUUCGGUGGAUAUCAGCCGCGUUCACUCAGUGAAUAUUAGGUUAAAGAGUACAUUUUUAAUCACAAAACGAAUUUUCUGAGAUAGAGCAAACGAAUUGUUCUUUUGAACGCGAACCUCUGACGUCUAACGAUGUGGGGGCCGCAGCAAAAGAGCCCACGGAACUGUUUAUCAAAAACACAGGUCUCUGCUAACACGAAAGUGGAUGUAUAGGGGCUGACUCCUGCCCAAUGCUGGAAGGUUAAGGGGAGCGCUUCACGGUGCGAACUGAAGCCCUAGUCAAUGGCGGCGGUAACUAUAACCGUCCUAAGGUAGCGAAAUUCCUUGUCAGGUAAGUUCUGACCCGCACGAAUGGAGUAAUCAUGUGGGCACUGUCUCAGCGAAGGACUCGGUGAAAGUGCAUUGGCGGUAAAGAUGCCGUCUGUCCGUACCAGGACGAAAAGACCCCAUGGAGCUUUACUACAGCUU